rnacentral:rRNA from 1 species
GAUGAACGCUAGCGGGAGGCCUAACACAUGCAAGCCGAGCGGUAGAGUUUCUUCGGAAACUUGAGAGCGGCGCACGGGUGCGUAACACGUGUGCAACCUACCUUUAUCUGGGGGAUAGCCUUUCGAAAGGAAGAUUAAUACCCCAUAAUAUAAUGAUUGGCAUCAAUUAUUAUUGAAAACUCCGGUGGAUAGAGAUGGGCACGCGCAAGAUUAGAUAGUUGGUGAGGUAACGGCUCACCAAGUCAAUGGUCUUUAGGGGUCCUGAGAGGGAGAUCCCCCACACUGGUACUGAGACACGGACCAGACUCCUACGGGAGGCAGCAGUGAGGAAUAUUGGACAAUGGGUGAGAGCCUGAUCCAGCCAUCCCGCGUGAAGGAUGACGGUCCUAUGGAUUGUAAACUUCUUUUGUACAGGGAUAAACCUACCCUCGUGAGGGUAGCUGAAGGUACUGUACGAAUAAGCACCGGCUAACUCCGUG